AUAUGUCACCAGCUAACUAAAGCUCCCCAUUGUGUUUAUAGAUUUCUUUUAAAGGCACUUUUAAUGCCGUUUUACACAUUAGGAGAUAGUUAAUUUAGAAGUAAAUGGUAGACCACGAGAGGAGCCUUCUUCUUUUUCUUCUUUUUAAAUUGAUGUCCAUUUGCAUCUCAGCACAGCAACUCCACAAAUUCCUGACUCUCAAUCCUGAGAGUCCUGUCACAGGACUGCCUGCGGCAAUCAGUCCUGGUUUCUUUUUGAACAAGCUUUCUUUUAACACUUAAAUCCAGGGAUGAUUUAACAGAAAGUGUCUCAAGUCUAUGAGCUACAGCCCCCUUAGACUCUACCCAAACAAAGCUACUAAUGUGUGGUCAGUUUCUUGGCAACUCCACUCUCCGCUGAUAACGCUCCUGCCUGCUAUUCUCCAAGGAGCCGGCUGCUGGAAGACUGCUCCGAACCUCAUCCCCUUGGUGCUCCUGAUGCGGGCGAUCCUCCGACUGCUCGGCGCCAACCACAACAUGCUACCCACCGUGAGAGAGCAGGACGCGGGCUGCUCUAGUCAGGACUUAUCGUCUAUCAUACUGAUUGACGAAACCAAGAGUGAGCAGAAAAAAUAAACACGAACAGAGGCUGCAGUGUAUGGGCCAGUCAGCUGGGAGUUUUAGUAUUUGGCCUUGGUGAUCCUACUCUCAUGAUGGAGUUUCACUCUUGUUGCCCAGGCUGGAGUGUAAUGGCACGAUAUCAGCUCACCACAACCUCCACCUCCCGCGUUCAAGUGAUUCUCCUGCUUCAGCCUCCUGAGCAGCUGGGAUUACUGGCAUGCGCCACCACCCUGGCUAAUUUUGUAUUUUUAGUAGAGACAGGGUUUCUCCAUGUGGGUCAGGCUGGUCUUGAACUCCCGACCUCAGGUGAUCUACCCGCCUCGGCCUCCCAAAGUGCUGGGAUUACAGGCGUGAGCCACUGUACCAGGCCUCUAAUACUUUUAUUCAAGGAUUAAUAAAGCCUUUUAAUGCAA